UAUUCUGUCUGACUGUGAGAAGUGCUGUUCUACUGUAGGUUCGUUUUGUGUGUCAUGUGUGAGUUCUGCCCGUCGCUGUACUUGGACGUUUCUCCAUAUUCCGAUAGGAGGGAAUGGUACCCUAGCGUGAAGGUGAAUAUUCUGCACUAACGAGCCCCUUGGGCCGCUUCCAUCACCAUUGACGAAAGACACACUCCCUCAUCUGUCAAUCUCCUGAGCGAGCUCCGCCUCAUCCCAGAUAAGACCGCCCACAAGCUCCCAUUCAGCCUGUCCAGCGAGACCCGGCCUGGC